ACUGCCACCUUGACGAGUUCCACUUAGGAACAGCCAGAGCAGCCCCUGUCAGCAUCAGGAAAAGCCCAGUGGGGGUCCCAAGAUGCUGCGAUUCUCUGCCGUGAUCCCAGAAAGUGGGUGAAACAGCCUAAACCUGUUCCUGCUGGGAGGAUGCUACCUGAAACUCGUGCCCAGCUGGCGGUUCUCUAGGAGGCUCCAUCCAAGGGAUUUGAAUUCCCACAAGCUCUCCUCCAUUUAACAAGAUUGAGAGUGAAAGUGAAAAUGAGCCCCAAGCCCAGCCUUCGCGUGACAGCUGUGGUCAAAACUGCCGCUGUGACUGUCAGCUCCCCGGGCUGUGCGCAGAGCCUGCCGGGUGGUCCCAAGGGUCAAUCAUGGGGCUGGAGCUUGGGGAGGAAGGGGAUCUCCACGCCCUCCCCCGAAGCCAGCUUGGGUGCAGGAUGGAUUCUGCACACUCCUUUCAAAUUCCCCACUCUCCAGGAACCCUCCUGUCCCCCUGCCCUCUCUGCUCACAUCAUCUGCUGCCCUAGACUUUGGAGGCUUGAAUUUCUGCACGAGGUGACUGCCAACAAAUGACAAGAGCAGCCAUUUAGUGAGCACGUAAUUCAUUUAAUGGUGCUGAACACAGAGCAAGUGCUGCAUGAGUAUUUUGGUUAGGGUUCACUUGUACCUUUUAGGUUUAGCUCUUAUGCAAAGCCUGUGGUUCAGAUCCAUGUGUCACCCUCAGGUCACUACGUCCCACUGCAGCAGGUAUGGGGAGAAUCAUAACCAUAACACCUUCCCUUGCAGUGAAUUUCUCUCUCAUAUUUGUCUUUAGUUUGAACCACAUAAUAAAUCUAUAAGCGUAUUAUAGUUCCUAUUCUAUAGAUGAGGAGACUGAGGCACACUAAGGGAAAAAGUGACAAGGAAGAGACUAGAGGCUACAUCUGAUUUUACACCAAGUAUUCAUCCCACACAAUGAAUAGCAACCACCGGAUGUUUUUCAAGAUUUGAGUGAAGGCCAGAAUCAAACUGAAGACUAUGUGUGUGUGUGUAUGUGUGUUCAUAUUCAAAAACACUACAUACACGCUACAUGUAUUAUAUAUAUUAUAUAAUAUACACACA
rnacentral:lncRNA from 1 species